GGUAAAUCUUUACCUUCACUCAAGUGACUAAGAGAAGUUAGAAAAGAAAUGAUGAGAGAAGCCAGACAGCCGAUUGAAGAAAGCAAAUGAAAACACAAGAUAGAGACAAGCUGCAUUUAUUCCCCAUGGUUACGUUUACCUUCUAGAUACUUAUCAGAGAACACUUCAAGUCCAUCUGAUUCCUUUUUUUCGUGCGAAAGUAUAUCUGAUUUUUUCAUACCUAUCAAUGGGGAUAAUGAGGUUGCUGACAUGCCCACAUCUUCAGAGGUACUUGUUCAAGUGGUUGUCAGCUAAUGUAUGAGGGAUAGAGAGUAAUGUUUUUAUAUUUAGGAUGGGUAUGAGUAAUGUUAAAUUGAAAUUUCAGAACUUCUUUUGCAAAUAAACAGUAGCAAAAUUCAGGUUUUGGCGAGAAGAAAAGUGAACCUAAAGGCUACAGUGCAAUUUAAUAGGAUACUAUGCUGCUUCUAGCCCAUGGAUUAGAAUGUAUUAAUCUCUAUAGUCCAGGAGACAUUGCUGAACAGAUGAAGUUGAUGGGGUAUCUCUGGUCGCCUGCAAAUUAAGCUAAUUGAAGAUCAAGCUCGGCAGUACUCAGUUUUCAAGUUUGGUGGUACUCAGAUUUCAAGUUCGGCAACGCUCAGUUUUGUAAUAGUGAUUGUUGAAUGUUUCCUGCAGCUGAUUACUUAGUGCCAAGUGCCGUUCAAUUAGCUCUGGAUGAAUUUUAUUUGUAAUCGUAAGGAUGGAUUUUGUUAUGUGCGAUA